CCUACGGGUGGCAGCAGUGAGGAAUAUUGGUCAAUGGGCGAGAGCCUGAACCAGCCAAGCCGCGUGAAGGAUGAAGGAUCUAUGGUUUGUAAACUUCUUUUUUAUGGGAGUAAAGUGAGGAUCGUGUCUGUUUUUGUAUGUACCAUAUGAAUAAGCAUCGGCUAACUCCGUGCCAGCCGCCGCGGUAAUACGGAGGAUGCGAGGGUUAUCCGGAUUUAUUGGGUUUAAAGGGUGCGUAGGUGGUUAAUUAAGUCAGGGGUGAAAGUUUGUGGCUCAACCAUAAAGUUGCCUUUGAAACUGGUUGACUUGAGUAUAUUUGAGGUAGGCGGAAUGCGUGGUGUAGCGGUGAAAUGCAUAGAUAUCACGCAGAACACCGAUUGCGAAGGCAGCUUACUAGACUAUAACUGACACUGAGGCACGAAAGCGUGGGGAUCAAACAGGAUUAGAUACCCUUGUAGUC
rnacentral:rRNA from 1 species